AAUAGUAAAUUCCCUCGCCAUCAUCUGAGAGCAUUGAAUCGCAUCCCUUCACCUCCACUUCCAGUUAAAUCUUUCAAUUCAAUGCCCUGAAUCAUAACCCUAACCCUUCGAUUUGCUAGCCGUUCCAACUGAAUAUGAUUUAACCUGUUGUCAAUGAAAGUCAGAUGCAAGCAAGGGUGUUCGAUUAGGGUUUCUUACAGCUCAGGAGAUGAGGGUUAUGGGAGAAACAUGGAGAUAGCACUCAAGCGACGAUACUCAGCCUAGGGCAAUUGAAACCUAUCAGGUCGAUUCGGUUCCUUCAAACAAUUUCAAUUCAUAUUCAAUUUACACUUUGAAUUGAAUCCACACACAUCUACACAUACGAGAGAGAGGGUGAGACGAGAUCCAGGGGAGAUGAUAACACGAUUCAAUGGCGGUUGAAGAAGAUCCAACGGUGGCGAUGGGGGUUUCAAGGAAGGUGAUGACAAUGUCAGUAUUGGAGCUUCGACUAUUUCCGGUGACCGAAGGAUAGUUGACAGCAUCAUUUCCCAAUUGGGUUUUUUAAACAAGAACAAUACCCUUCUUCUCCACGAUUCAGGCAAGG